AGAGUUUGAUUAUGGCUCAGGACGAACGCUGGCGGCGUGCCUAACACAUGCAAGUCGAGCGAGGAGAUCCUUCGGGAUGAUCCUAGCGGCGGACGGGUGAGUAACACGUGGGCAACCUGCCUCAUAGAGAGGAAUAGCCUUCCGAAAGGGAGAUUAAUACCUCAUAACAUUGCAGUUUCGCAUGGAACAGCAAUUAAAGGAGCAAUCCGCUAUGAGAUGGGCCCGCGGCGCAUUAGCUAGUUGGUGAGGUAAACGGCUCACCAAGGCGACGAUGCGUAGCCGACCUGAGAGGGUGAUCGGCCACAUUGGGACUGAGACACGGCCCAGACUCCUACGGGAGGCAGCAGUGGGGAAUAUUGCACAAUGGGGGAAACCCUGAUGCAGACCAACGCCGCGUGAGUGAUGACGGCCUUCGGGUUGUAAAGCUCUGUCUUCAGGGACGAUAAUGACGGUACCUGAGGAGGAAGCCACGGCUAACUACGUGCCAGCAGCUGC
rnacentral:rRNA from 1 species